rnacentral:misc_RNA from 1 species
UCGUCUGUGUGGGUCUGUAAUUAAACCUGGGAACAAAUCUGAAUCGAGCGACAAGUUGUCGCAAAAUGGCUUCCAAGUGCAAGUUCCAGCCGAAUGCAGUGCAAAACACGUAACUUCUCCCAGCAAUUACGAUUGCCAGCUAAAUUUGUGUUGUUGCUUGCUGCUCAUUCACCAGAUGUCUGGAUUCUGGAGGUUUCUUAUUCCUGUUUGUCUUCUGUUACUUGUAAAUCACAGUACCGAGUUUGAUGCAUCCAAAAUUCGUCCUCAGAGCAGUCAUCUUGGCUGUCUUGGUUGCCUUGGCAACUUGUCAAGAAUGUAGCCAUGAAGACAAAGAAGGUUACAUCAUCGAUGUCCACACCUCAGAGAAGAACGGUGCUGUUUUUAUGUCUGAUGCCAAAACGUUGACUAAAGAAAGCUGCCAAAAUGCUUGCUGCAACUUAGAAGAAGACACACUAGAUGACGGAAGCCUAGCCAGAUGCAAUUUAGCAGUCUUCCACAGCAGCAAUGAGAUACAGAGUAAAUCCAAAAACUGUUUCCUGGUCUUCUGUCCGUCCAAAAACUCCUGCCAUCUGACCAGGGUGAAAGGUUUCACUUCCAGCUAUGUGACACACACACUGGUCCCAGAGACAACUGACCCAGAAGUCUUGUCUAACCAGCCUCCCCGCCCCAAGUUCUACCGCCCCGAUUCUCCACCCAUCAACUUCCAUAAGUUAUUCAGGAGAAGUAAUGCCGACGGGAAGCCUGGGUCUAGUAUGGGCGGUGCCGCCAAACAGGCCGAGACACUCUUGGAAACUGCCAAGAAGCUUGUGGAUGCAGGAGCUGGGUCCUCAUCCAGCCAGGCUGACAAGCAGGUGGCUUUGCAGGAGGGGAACCUCCUGAGCGCACUGGCUCAGGAUGCUCUUGGCACCAUGCAGAAAAGGGCAAAGGCCGCAAAGAAGAAACCCAAGCUCAUCACCACACCGAAAAUUUCCGUAAAAACGACAGGCAAGAAACCUCAGCAAACCACAUCUUCAUCUGCCACAGCUCCCCUCGUCAAAGUCACCACUCACGGUCCGCUGUUAAACAGACUACUACACAAAGCUCUCAAACGGAAUCUCCCAAACUGAAGAUGACCUCUCCUAGUCCAAAAGAAGGAACUCCAACCAGUGCGCGAUUAGCCGGGAUGCAAGGGUCUACCAGGCCACUGUCUACUCCUCAGAUGCCUGUCUUGACUCCAGCUUCCACCAACCCAGCUAUCUCUCCCCUGCUUGCCAAAUCCACUUCCUCGGAAACCACAGAGGCAUCCACGCUUCUUCCCGAGAUCAAUUCAACCCUGCCUUUGAGUACAAGAGAGCCAACUCCAAGUCCCGAUGAAGC